rnacentral:lncRNA from 13 species
CCAUGCUCUGUUGAAUCCCAUCUUAAAAUUCUCACUCCCAGAUGGGACUUAGAGAGAGAAAAGGAAUCUCAAUCUCACUGACUCAUUGCUGGUGGCAUCUCAGAGAUGGCUGCUUUCUCUUCCGUGAGGGUAUCAGAGCCCUCUUGUGCCUCUAAAGGAUCUGCUCUGUUCUAGGGCAUCGAAAUCCUGUGAGUUAUGGACAUGGAGCCAGGGGUGCUCCUCUAGAAGCCACAGGGCACUCCCCAAGGUUCAUGGCUGCAGUCUGAAAACUUGGCUCCAAGUCUUGGCUCCACCUCUUCUGGUGACCUUGGACACAUCCUCUGCCCUCUGGUUUCUUGGUACAAGAUCUGGCUACCUCAGCGGGGGUGUGAAGGCCAGAGGAGAUGGUGUCACUUGCAGAAGGAAGAGCGUGAUGCCAAUGAGGUCGCUACCAUUCCAAAGUUGGAAGCCUGCAAGCAUUCACCGAGGGCAGGGUGGGCAUCGCUGGACUUCAUCUUCCCCUCCUUGUGGACAGCAGUUCCCUGAGCCCCAACUCACUGGCUGGGGACUUGCCUCCCAAACCAGCCCCUUGUCCUCUUCCGCCAGAGGUCGAGGGGUGAUUCUAGCCAUCUGUUCUUCCCACGCAUAGGACAAACUUAGGUUGGAAAUGUUUUGAAAGGGCGUAUUGAUAGCUUUAUUCUAUAAUAAGAGAUUUUACAAAGAUUGGAAGGGAGGUAGAGAAAGUUCAUUUUAAAUCCUCUUUGAUUCAGUUUUUAGGAUUCCAGGAGCUUCUGGAAAGCAGGCUUUUAUGGAAGGACUCUUGGAAGGAGGUGUGUUUUUUACAGUGCUCUGUAACUUGAACAUCUUUCAAAGAGACAUAGUCCACACUCCAAGUGCCACAUCAGGAGGAACAAAUGCUGUUGGGGUCAAGUGUUUGUCCUAGGGGUGUGGGAGGUGCUGGGAGGCCCAGGAUGGAAAGGGGCAGCAGGACCCAGAUCUUACCCUCUUGUGUGUUCCGGUACCGGAUGCUGGUGUGGGCUGAACAGACCCGGCUCAUGGUUUCAUCUUGGUAGACAGAGUAAGGGGGGCUUGUUUCUUUGUGUAGAGAGCCCGCUGGUGAGCGCAAAUGGAAAACUCAAUUAUCAGUGAGGUUAGGGGCAGGGUGAGAGGUCAGGGCCGAAUGCCCGCGCUUCCUCUGGGUGCUGAGAGAGCUGCUCCUGUCUGCACUGCUUGGGAGGAGGAUGCAUUGAUCAGGGUCAAAGGUUGUGUGUCA